AAUAUUGGACAAUGGGGAAAACCCUGAUGCAGCGACGCCGCGUGAGUGAAGAAGUAUAUCGGUAUGUAAAGCUAUAUCAGCAGGGAAGAAAAUGACGGUACCUGACUAAGAAGCCCCGGCUAACAACGUGCCAGCAGCCGAGGUAAUACGCAGGGGGCAAGCGUUAUCCGGCUUUACUGGGUGUAAAGGGAGCGUAGGUGGUGCGUCAAGUCAGAUGUGGAAGCCCAGGGCUCAACCCCGGGACUGCAUUUGAAACUGUCGAACUAGAGUGCAGGAGAGGUAAGUGGAAUUCCUAGUGUAGCGGUGAAAUGCGUAGAUAUUAGGAGGAACACCAGUGGCGAAGGCGGCUUACUGGACUGUAACUGACACUGAGGCUCGAAAGCGUGGGGAGCAAACAGG
rnacentral:rRNA from 1 species